UUGUUUCGGGGUUAAUUUUUCAGUACUUUGUAAGAUAUAACUCUUUUUUUUCUCCUCUCAUAUAUUCAGUGGGUAAUUCUAACACAUAUUUUCGCAGCCUUUAAGUCCAAGUCUUAAAUAUUGUGCAGCAGUUAACUUCAUUAAAAGAAGAUAGUGUACUUUUACUGACUUAUAAUUCAGCUUCUGAUCCCUGCUACAAAAAUGACCACAUUUCUUCUUUCCGAGAGAUUCAUUUUCUUGUAUGUAUUUCAGAAUAGGAAAUUACACUGGAUUUAUAACAUACUAAAUACUGUCAAGUCCCUGUUGAUCCCCAGGGAUUAAAGUUAUUUGUUUUGUGCUUUUAACCUCGGUUCUAGCCUUGACUAUCUUUUAACAACUGUAGCACUGAAUCAAAAAGAAAAAGCACUUCAAAAAUACAUUUAGUUUCAAGUCUUAUUAAUCUAUGCAUUUUUUAUUUAUUACAGGUUUAUUCUUCAUACUCUCGCCACAUCUUGAUUUGGCUCGUUGUUCCUUUUUCCUAUGCAUAUACUUCUUUGAGAGUUUGAUCUAAAGAGGCAUAGAGCAUGGGAAAAUGGGGCGACUGAGGUACUUCGCCAUUCGUUCCAAACAGCGCUGUCGAGAUGACUAUCGAAAUGUAUGGAGGAAAUAGACAUACAAAGAAAUGAAAGAAGUAAGAGGAACAGAGUCACAGACUGCAGAAGUGCAACACGAAACCUCUCUUGGACUCAGUUUUCACAGACUGCACUGCAUCUUUGAAGAGAAACUGGAGAUUUUUAUUUUCCUGUUAACAUUUUGUUAUAUUUCUGUUCAGUUUAUUUUGUUUAGUCUAAAAAAAAGAUGUAUCAUAUCAGUUCUGUGGAAAAUAUUAUGGAACCAUGUAGCUGAAUAUACUGUGUGUCAAAUAAAAACCCAAAGUUUCACACACUGUUCAGAAGUUUGUGUUACCCUAUACAACAAAUUCUAACAAGGUUUGCAAAACUCCAUGCAUGGAGAAAGUAAUACUGUGUACACAACCAGCCAUUUUACUUGCUUAUUAUUGUGCCAUGUUAUUCUAGAUGAAAUAAAUAUCUUAAGAUGUUGUAAUA